UGAACGCUGGCGGCAGGCCUAACACAUGCAAGUCGAACGGUAGCACAGAGAGCUUGCUCUCGGGUGACGAGUGGCGGACGGGUGAGUAAUGUCUGGGAAACUGCCUGAUGGAGGGGGAUAACUACUGGAAACGGUAGCUAAUACCGCAUAACGUCGCAAGACCAAAGAGGGGGACCUUCGGGCCUCUUGCCAUCAGAUGUGCCCAGAUGGGAUUAGCUAGUAGGUGGGGUAACGGCUCACCUAGGCGACGAUCCCUAGCUGGUCUGAGAGGAUGACCAGCCACACUGGAACUGAGACACGGUCCAGACUCCUACGGGAGGCAGCAGUGGGGAAUAUUGCACAAUGGGCGCAAGCCUGAUGCAGCCAUGCCGCGUGUAUGAAGAAGGCCUUCGGGUUGUAAAGUACUUUCAGCGGGGAGGAAGGUGUUGUGGUUAAUAACCGCAGCAAUUGACGUUACCCGCAGAAGAAGCACCGGCUAACUCCGUGCCAGCAGCCGCGGUAAUACGGAGGGUGCAAGCGUUAAUCGGAAUUACUGGGCGUAAAGCGCACGCAGGCGGUCUGUCAAGUCGGAUGUGAAAUCCCCGGGCUCAACCUGGGAACUGCAUUCGAAACUGGCAGGCUA
rnacentral:rRNA from 2 species